rnacentral:rRNA from 1 species
GAUGAACGCUGGCGGCGUGCCUAAUACAUGCAAGUCGAGCGAACGGACGAGAAGCUUGCUUCUCUGAUGUUAGCGGCGGACGGGUGAGUAACACGUGGAUAACCUACCUAUAAGACUGGGAUAACUUCGGGAAACCGGAGCUAAUACCGGAUAAUAUUUUGAACCGCAUGGUUCAAAAGUGAAAGACGGUCUUGCUGUCACUUAUAGAUGGAUCCGCGCUGCAUUAGCUAGUUGGUAAGGUAGCGGCUUACCAAGGCAACGAUGCAUAGCCGACCUGAGAGGGUGAUCGGCCACACUGGAACUGAGACACGGUCCAGACUCCUACGGGAGGCAGCAGUAGGGAAUCUUCCGCAAUGGGCGAAAGCCUGACGGAGCAACGCCGCGUGAGUGAUGAAGGUCUUCGGAUCGUAAAACUCUGUUAUUAGGGAAGAACAUAUGUGUAAGUAACUGUGCACACCUUGACGGUACCUAAUCAGAAAGCCACGGCUAACUACGUG